UUAAAAGUUUAUAUUUCAAAUGUUAUAACAGAGCCAAAAGAAAAAUAAUAUACAAUCUUUUCUGUUCAACGAUCAAUUAAUCAUUGGUUCUUCUUUCUCCAGGAUUACGGGUCGUUGGAUCUCUUUGAGGUCUCGCCUAGUGAUGGAUUGCUGUUGAAGCUGGUGUUGUCUAGCUGUAGCACCAGCCUUGGCAUGUCAUCGACCUUGUUUGUCGUUUACCUUAUUUUCUGUCCGUCCGUCUGAUAAUGAACGUUGUUGGUCAACUCCUCAGCAAGGCAGAUAUCUAUGCUGAAGCAAGGGCUCCCAAGUACUUUUACAAAUACCGUCCUGGCCUAAGGGUGAGCUUAUCCUAAAGCUGAAAGGGCGCUUCCUAACUUCCCGCCGCCAAAUGAAAUAAACGAAAUGAUGUCAGCCCUGAAUCAUCAACUAUUUAUUAAUUGCUACUUUUUAUUUUAAACCAGCUGACCCGGGCCCGCUCCGCACCGCCUUCUUUUACUUUAUAAGGAACAAAAUUUUCCUUGGAAACAUUUAUUUUCAACAAUUAAACAGCUUUUAGUGAAAUACCAUGUUACGAAAAUAGUAUAUCGCUUGACUAACAGUUUAACAAUAUAAGCGCCUUUAUCUGAA